UACGGAGGGGGCUAGCGUUGUUCGGAAUUACUGGGCGUAAAAGCGCGCGUAGGCGGCUUUGUAAGUUAGAGGUGAAAGCCCGGAGCUCAACUUCGGAAUUGCCUUUAAGACUGCAUCGCUUGAAUCAUGGAGAGGUCAGUGGAAUUCCGAGUGUAGAGGUGAAAUUCGUAGAUAUUCGGAAAGAACACCAGUGGCGAAGGCGACUGACUGGACAUGUAUUGACGCUGAGGUGCGAAACGUGGGGGAGCAAACAGGG
rnacentral:rRNA from 1 species